rnacentral:rRNA from 1 species
GUGAGUAGUUCAGAGUUUGAUCCUGGCUCAGGAUGAACGCUAGCUACAGGCUUAACACAUGCAAGUCGAGGGGCAGCACAGUGUAGCAAUACACGGGUGGCGACCGGCGCACGGGUGCGUAACGCGUAUGUAACCUACCUCAAACAGGGGCAUAACACUGAGAAAUUGGUACUAAUUCCCCAUAACACCUGAUAGGGCAUCCUAUUGGGUUGAAAGUUCCGGCGGUUUGAGAUGGACAUGCGUUGUAUUAGCUAGUUGGUGAGGUAACGGCUCACCAAGGCGACGAUACAUAGGGGGACUGAGAGGUUAACCCCCCACAUUGGUACUGAGACACGGACCAA